rnacentral:misc_RNA from 1 species
GGACUACUUGGGUAUCUAAUCCUGUUCGCUCCCCACGCUUUCGCUCCUCAGCGUCAGUUAUGGCCCAGAAACCUGCCUUCGCCAUCGGUGUUCCUCCUGAUAUCUGCGCAUUCCACCGCUACACCAGGAAUUCCAGUUUCCCCUACCACACUCUAGUCUGCCCGUAUCGAAUGCAGGCCCAAGGUUAAGCCAUUGGGUUUUCACAUCCGACGCGACAGACCGCCUACGAGCUCUUUACGCCCAAUAAAUCCGGACAACGCUUGCACCCUACGUAUUACCGCGGCUGCUGGCACGUAGUUAGCCGGUGCUUCUUCUGCAGGUACAGUCACUUUCGCUUCGUCCCUGCUGAAAGAGGUUUACAAUCCGAAGACCUUCGUCCCUCACGCGGCGUCGCUGCGUC